rnacentral:rRNA from 1 species
GACGAACGCUGGCGGCGUGCUUAACACAUGCAAGUCGAACGGUGAACUCCGCUUGCGGGGGGAUCAGUGGCGAACGGGUGAGUAACACGUGGGCAACCUGCCCUCAGCUCUGGGAUAACUCCAAGAAAUUGGGGCUAAUACCGGAUAUGACCGCUGACCGCAUGGUCUGGUGGUGGAAAGAUUUAUCGGCUGGGGAUGGGCCCGCGGCCUAUCAGCUUGUUGGUGGGGUAGUGGCCUACCAAGGCGACGACGGGUAGCCGGCCUGAGAGGGUGACCGGCCACACUGGGACUGAGACACGGCCCAGACUCCUACGGGAGGCAGCAGUGGGGAAUAUUGCGCAAUGGGCGAAAGCCUGACGCAGCGACGCCGCGUGGGGGAUGACGGCCUUCGGGUUGUAAACCUCUUUCAACAGGGACGAAGCGAAAGUGACGGUACCUGCAGAAGAAGCACCGGCCAACUACGUG